AAUAACGCAGACGAAAGCUGCGCUAAACUACCGCAUACGAUCUGAGGAUAGAAGCGGGGGACCGUAAGGCCUCGCGCGAUCGGAGCGGCCGAUGUCAGAUUAGGUAGUUGGUGGGGUAAAGGCUCACCAAGCCGACGAUCUGUAGCUGGUCUGAGAGGACGACCAGCCACACUGGGACUGAGACACGGCCCAGACUCCUACGGGAGGCAGCAGUGGGGAAUUUUGGACAAUGGGCGCAAGCCUGAUCCAGCAAUGCCGCGUGCAGGAAGAAGGCCUUCGGGUUGUAAACUGCUUUUGUACGGAGCGAAAAGGCCCUCUCUAAUACAGGGGGUUCAUGACGGUACCGUAAGAAUAAGCACCGGCUAACUACGUG
rnacentral:rRNA from 1 species